AGCAGUAGCCACGGUAAUACGUAGGGUGCGAGCGUUAAUCGGAAUUACUGGGCGUAAAGCGUGCGCAGGCGGUUCGUUAAGACAGAUGUGAAAUCCCCGGGCUUAACCUGGGAACUGCAUUUGUGACUGGCGAGCUAGAGUAUGGCAGAGGGGGGUAGAAUUCCACGUGUAGCAGUGAAAUGCGUAGAGAUGUGGAGGAAUACCGAUGGCGAAGGCGGCGACCUGGUCCUUUACUGACGCUGAGGCGCGAAAGCUAGGGGAGCAAACAGGAUUAGAUACCCCCGUAGUCCCUGUCUCUUAUAA
rnacentral:rRNA from 1 species